UGUCUUGUAGUAUAUAAUUACUAUUACUGUAAACUGCAACUUUACCAAAGCAACUAGCCAAGACAU
rnacentral:tRNA from 1 species